AUUGAACGCUGGCGGCAGGCUUAACACAUGCAAGUCGAGCGGAGUGAUGGUGCUUGCACUAUCACUUAGCGGCGGACGGGUGAGUAAUGCUUAGGAAUCUGCCUAUUAGUGGGGGACAACAUCUCGAAAGGGAUGCUAAUACCGCAUACGUCCUACGGGAGAAAGCAGGGGAUCACUUGUGACCUUGCGCUAAUAGAUGAGCCUAAGUCGGAUUAGCUAGUUGGUGGGGUAAAGGCCUACCAAGGCGACGAUCUGUAGCGGGUCUGAGAGGAGGAUCCGCCACACUGGGACUUCGACACGGCCCAGACUCCGACGGGAGGCAGCAGUGGGGAAUAUUGGACAAUGGGGGGAACCCUGAUCCAGCCAUGCCGCGUGUGUGAAGAAGGCCUUAUGGUUGUAAAGCACUUUAAGCGAGGAGGAGGCUCUUUUGGUUAAUACCCAAGAUGAGUGGACGUUACUCGCAGAAUAAGCACCGGCUAACUCUGUGCCAGCAGCCGCCGUAA
rnacentral:rRNA from 1 species